AGCUCUGUUUCCUGCCAUUGCUCGAGGAGAUCUUCAUGAGUUUCAUAGGAGUAGGAUUGUGCCUUCAAUCCAUCAUCUUUCUAGGGAAGCCCAGAGUCACAUCUUCCACAGCUGUUUCAGAAAGCAGGCAGAAACAUUCUUCAUGUGGCUGGCUGCCUUUGGAACUGAACAUCAACAAAAGGCAAGCAACAGAAAUGGAGUGUCAGUCAGCACUUCCGAAGACCUAGCUUUUCAGCCAGAGAGGAAACCAGGCCAAGAGGCUUCCAGUCCAGUGUUUAAUUCUCCCUGGCCCCUCUUUGCAUGGGCCUCCUGAGGGGUAGCUCCUCCAAACGCUGCCCUGAGGUUUGACUGAAAUCUGUCAUUUCUUUGGUUGGAAGGUUGGUGUUUCCUUGCAAGGGACCACAAAGCCAUAUUACAUUCAAUGUUAAAUAAACAAAUGUUUGAAUCUGUGUUUUAUUGGUUCCAUACCAUCUGCCAUCUGGUUUGGGGGAGCAAGGAAAAUUGUGGUUUUGUUGGUUGUGUGUGUGUGUGUGUGUGAGUGUGUGUGUGUCUGUUGUUGUUCGUUUUUUGUUGUUGUUGUUGUUGGGGGUGGGGGUU
rnacentral:lncRNA from 1 species